rnacentral:lncRNA from 1 species
CUAACACCACUAAAUUGCCUAGUAACUUGGUAAACUUGAUUGAAAACAUAAACUUCUACCUAAACUUGUCAUUCAGCACCUAAUUACAUCAAAAUACAGUUACCAACUUAGUUCAAAACAAACUAAAACACAAAAUGUUCAUUUGAGUAACCAAAUGAAACAAUGCAGUUUCGGUUUGCUGUUAAAGCACGAUCCCUGCAUGGCCACCUUGCAUGGUCACCUUGGCUGCUGCAUGAGGGUUGACUUCAACACUCCUCCUCAGCUUCUAUGCAGCAGACUCCUAGUUGCUUCCUUAGGUUUAGAAAUCUCGAUGCACCAAGUGAUUUUGUGAAGAUAUCGGCGAUCUGACCUUCUGAGCUGCAAUGAAUUAGCUUGAUCUCUCGAGCUUGUUCCAUUUCUCUUAUCACAUGGAGUUUAAUGUUGAAAUGUUUUGUCCUGCCAUGGAAGACAGGAUUUUUAGCAAUAGCAACUGCUGACUUGUUGUCACAAUGUAUCACAGUUGCAUCAUUUUGCUGUAGAUUCAAAUCGCUCAAAAUUUUUCUCAGCCACAUAGCUUGAUUAACAGCAUUGGCAGCUGCUACAUACUCUGCUUCUGCUGUCGAUUGAGCCACCAUUGUUUGUUUUCUUGAGCUCCAACAAAUCAUAGCUGAGCCAAGUGUAAAAGCAUAGCCAGAAGUGCUCUUCAUGUCAUCCUUUGAACCAGCCCAAUCGCUAUCAGUGUAGCCAAUCAGUUUCAACUCUUCAGCCUUUCUAAACUGUAUUCCAUGGUUUAAGGUACCUUUGAUGUAUCUUAGCACCCUUUUCCCAGCCUUGUAAUGUUGCUGGUUACAGCAGUGCAUGAACCUUGAUAGCAUGCUCACAGCAAACAGAAUGUCAGGUCUUGUUGCUGUUAAAUACAGCAAACAACCAACAAGGCUCCUAUAAAAUGAUUCAUUGACAGGCUCAUGUUCUUCUUGGCUCGACAGUUUUAUGCCAACUGCCAUAGGUGUGCAUGUUGGCUUGCAAUUUUGCAUUGAAAACUUGGAUAAAACUUUCAAAGCAAAUGCCUUUUGUUCCAAAAAAAUUCCUUGAUCAGCUUGUUGUAUCUCUAUUCCAAGGAAAUAAGUCAUCAACCCCAAAUCUGACAUCUCGAACAUCUCCUUCAUUUUUCUUUUGAAAUCUUCUAACAUAGUCUUGUCUCCUCCUGUUACAAGGAGAUCAUCCACAUAAAGAGACACAAUAAGCUGUGUUUCUGCUUGAUCCUUCUUAACAUAAAGUGUUGGCUCACUAGCACUCCUUUCAAAUCCCAAACUGACCAAGUAUGAGUCAAUUCGAGCAUACCAGGCUCGAGGGGCCUGUUUUAGGCCAUACAAGGCCUUUCUUAGCCUAUACACCAAAUGUUCCUUACCAGGCAUUAUAAAACCUGGGGGUUGCUCGAUGUAUAUCUCCUCUUCUAGGAAUCCAUUGAGGAAUGCAGACUUGACAUCCAUUUGGUGGAUUGUCCACUGGUUCUGAGCAGCAACUGCAAUCAGCAAUCUGAUUGUAUCGAGUCUGGCUACUAGAGUAAAUGUUUCCAUGUAGUCCAGACCAUACCUUUGACUGAAGCCCUUUACAACUAGUCUGGCCUUUAGCUUGUUUAAACUUCCAUCCGCAUUGUGCUUCACUCGAUAAACCCAUUUUACACCAAUGGUCUUUCUGUUGGCAGGCUUUUCAACCAACUCCCAUGUCUAAUUCUUCACAAUCAUGUUGAUUUCAUCAACCAUAGCCUGUUUCCAACCUUCAUCUGCUUCAGCUUCUUCAAAACUACUAGGUUCUUCUAUAGCAACUUGUGCUCUUUCAUAAAUCUCAUCUAGGGGCCUUGUGCCUCUCACAGGCACAUCAUCAACAUCCAUUUCAGGACCAAGGUGCUCGAGUUCAGCUUGAUUAGGCACCAGGUCUUCUGAAGCAGCUUCUGGUUUACUCUUCUCCCAAUUCCAGCAAGCCUUCUCAUUAAAGAUGACAUCUCUGCUCACUUAAACUUUGUUUGUCAAAGGAUCCAGCACCCUGUAGCCCUUUUUAACUGAGCUAUAGCCUACUAGAACACCUGGUUGAGCCCUUUCAGAGAGCUUAUCUCUCUUUGCUGCUGGUAUUUGUGCAUAACACAGGCAACCAAACACCUUCAGAUGUGCCAAGGAAGGCUUGAAACCAGACCAAGCCUCGAAAGGUGUUUUGGAUGCAAGAGCUUUAGUAGGAAGCCUAUUUUGAAGGUAGACAGCAGUGUUUACUGCCUCAGCCCACAUGGUCUUGGGCAGUUUCUUCUCAAACAGCAGGCACCUGGCCAUAUCCAUCAAGCUUCUGUUUUUUCUUUCUGAUACCCCAUUCUGCUGAGGUGUGUAGACAUUUGUAAGCUGGUGUUUGAUACCAGCAUCAUUGCAAAUGGCUUGAAACUGAGCUGAAGUGUACUCAGUGCCAUUGUCUGACCUUAUCGAUUUCAGCUUGCAACCUGUUUCUGUCUCUACAGCAGUUUUAAACUUCACAAACACUUGAGCUACCUCAGACUUGUGUUUUAAGAAGAAAAUCCAGCAAAACCUUGUAAAAUCAUCAAUGAAGAGGAUAAAAUACCUGUUUUUGCUGAGUGAUUCAGUCCUCAUCGGGCCACAUACAUCAGAGUGCACCAGCUGCAGUCUUUCAGUAGCUCUCCAUGCUGCAUUUGUAGAAAAUGGCAAUCUUGCCUGUUUCCCCAUCUGGCAGACCUCACACACAUCAUCAUACUCCACUGAGUUGGUGAAGUUCUCAGCCAAGCCCUCACUGGCCAUUCGACCCAUUGACCUGAAGUUGGCAUGUCCAAGUCUUCUAUGCCAGAGUUUGGAGUCAUCUAUAAAGGUUGUAUAUGCUGACUUUAAGUCAUUUGACUAAUGAACCUCAAAGCAUUUAUCAGUCAUUGUGACUGUCAUAAGGCUUGAUCCACUUGGAUCUGCAAUGUGGCACUGUUUAUCCUUGAAUACAACAGAAUAACCUUUCUCAAGCAAUUGGGCUAUGCUGAGAAGGUUUCUGUCAAUCUCAGGCACCAAAAGCACAUUUGGUAUGACCUUGUUACCUGUAGGAGUACAUAUCAGCACCUCUCCUCUUCCUUCAGCCUUUAUAAACUGGCCAUUUCCAACCUUGACCUUGGUUUUGCAACUUCUAUCCAAGGUUUUAAACAAUGAGGCAUCUGGUGACAUGUGGUUAGUGCAACCACUGUCCAAUAGCCAACCUUUUGAAAAUUUCUUCUCAGCAGUUAAGCAAGAAACAGCAAAGACCUGUUCCUCUUGGUCACUACUGUCCUCAGCUACUCGAGCUUCAACCUUUGGUUGUUGAAAUUGGCUCUGCCUUGGCUUGGUUCUAUUUUUGCAAACCCUUUCAACAUGGCCCUUCUUCUUGCAGUGCUGGCAUACUGCUUCUGGCCUGAACCAACAUCUGUCUUCUGGAUGGCCUAGCUUCUUGCAAUAUCUGCAGGGCUGGUCAUUGCUCCUUGCAGCAUCAGGCUUAGGCCUGCUUUUCCAAGGCUUUUUGCCUCUUUGAGCAUUGGUGCUCGAGGCUUCUCUGGCCUUGGCUUGAAAUGCACCUUCUUGGUGAUCUUCAGCUCUGCUAGCUCUCCUUUGUUCCUGAGCAUAGAAGGUGUUGAUUAACUCAGUCAAAGAAAUGCUAGCAAGGUCUCUUGAGUCCUCUAGGGAGGAUAUCUUUGCUUCAUAUUUCUCAGGCAAAGUGGAGAGGACUUUCUCCACAAUUCUUGCCUCAUCAAAGUGCUCACCUAGGAGCCUUAUACUGUUAACCACUGCCAUAAUUCUAUCUGAAUACUGCUUCACUGUUUCUUCUUCCUUCAUCUUCAAAUUCUCGAAAUCCCUUCUCAAAUUCAACAGCUGCUGUUGCAUUGUUCUCUCAGUGCCUUGAAACUCCUCCUUAAGCUUGUCCCAGGCCUAUUUUGAAGUCUCACAGGCCAUAAUUCUGGUAAAGAUGACAUCUGAUACACAGUUCUGAAUGCAGGACAUGGCUUUGUGCCUUUUGGUCCUCUCAUCAGCAUGUUGUCUGAUCUGAGCUACUGUGGGAUUAGCCCUCAGUGGUGCUGGCUCAGCAUCUGUGUUAACAACUUCCCACAGAUCAAAGGCCUGCAGGUAAGUCUUCAUCUUUACCAGCCAUAUGUGAAAGCUUUCUCCAUUGAAGACUGGUGGGGCUGCUGGUGAAAAUCCUGAAGAAGCCAUCAGGUUCCUUGGUUUGAAGCAACAGGUCCACUAAGACAACGGCUCUAGAUACCAAUUGUUGGUGCAAGAGGUAAUAGCAAGAUGGUUUCAGCUUGCUUGCACAGCAAGUGUCGAGCCUUGCUGAAUAAACUAUUGAAGAAGAAGAAAGAAAUUUUGCAAUGGAGAACAGAAAAGAAAGAGAUAAAAUUGAAUGAAAAUGAGCUAAAUUUUCAUUAACCUUUUUUAAGGCAUAAUACCAAUACAUAUAUAUGAGAUAACAACAGCAAAACAAACAAGUUACCACCUAAUAACAUACCUAACACCACUAAAUUGCCUAGUAACUUGGUAAACUUGAUUGAAAACAUAAACUUCUACCUAAACUUGUCAUUCAGCACCUAAUUACAUCAAAAUACAGUUACCAACUUAGUUCAAAACAAACUAAAACACAAAAUGUUCAUUUGAGUAACCAAAUGAAACAAUGCAGUUUCGGUUUGCUGUUAAAGCACGAUCCCUGCAUGGCCACCUUGCAUGGUCACCUUGGCUGCUGCAUGGGGGUUGACUUCAACA